UCAUCCACGGUGAUGUCAUAGUAUAACCUGUUGUAUUGGUUUCAGAGUAGAGCACUGAUAGGGUGUGGUUGUAUUAACAGGACAUAAAUACUCACCCAAGUAAACACAUUAUACAUUUGAAGACAGCUGCACGAAAGGAUCAGCACGUAAUAGGUGAUUGAAAGCACUAUCUGUUUGGUGUUACAUACUGUACUCACCAGUCAAGCAACCAGCGGCAAACUGAAAACAGGGAAAGAAAAUACAAAACAUGGAGCAAAUAUUCUCAGGUGAACAUGUGAGUAUAGAGAUAUUGAAAACGAAAACAUCAUUACAACAUAAUAUUUACCUUCAUAAAAAAAUCCCGAAGUACCCUGAAAAUGUGGAAUUCCACGUAUCCAAAGUUUCCCAUGUUACUAACCAAGCAGGCCUGGAUGGGAUCCUGUCAGAUGGAUUUAAGGGUGGACAAAAAAGAGGUCCUUUCAUGUGGUGGGGUCUUAACAUUGACGACAUCAUUAUCACGGAAGCUGAGAAGCGCUACCUUGACAGGCACUCCUCAAGUCUACAAACUGAAGAGAGGCAACCUCAGGUAUCAUUCCUGAAAAAGUUUACCACCUCCCCUGUCUUCCAAACAGGAUCUCGGUAUGGGAACUUUAAGUUCACCUUCUCCUUGGAGGAUCUCAUGCAGAAGUACACAGAGCAGAUCUGUGAGGGAGAGAAGCCUGUCCUGAGAGUCUAUGAAACUGUGGUUUACAAGCAGGAGAUCAUGUAUACAGUGGUUGUCCACAGUCCAAAGGUGACACAGUUUGAUACGUGCCAACUUCUUGAAGGUGCUGAAGCUAUGUGUAGCUAUAGAGAGGGCACAAUUGUCUGGAACGCACAGGCUGUGUCUGAGACCCACAACUAUGAAUUGAUCAUAAAGGCCAAUAUGAUCAAAGCCAAAAAGGUUAAAGUUGGCACACAUCAGUUUUUUGUGUGGGAUCAUGUGACACUAGCAUUUCACAUGCCUCAUGGCACUGCCCUAUGUGUUGAUAGGAAGGACCUGAUUGAAAGCCUCAAAGCAUGUGAUAGUGUUAAACCUUUGUAUAGGAAAGCAGACCCAGUGAUGUCAUAUGAAACAGCAGCAAUCAUUGUUGAUUCUCAGAAUGUUUCAAACGGGCUCUAACCAGCAAACAACCUAAUCAUGGAGUACUAUAGAGUACAAGAUAAAUAGAUCUUAACUUCUCAGGGGAGUUCUAACAUAUGGAAUUGUUUUAAAGACACCAUGAAUUAUUUAGCUAUUUGAUUUAGAAUUGUGAACCUUUACGUAUAAAAAAAACGAAAUAAAAUAAAGAUGGCGGCAAGCUGUUGAUGCUGAAAACUCCUUUCUUCUGAUGAAAAUAACCAAUUCAACAAGAAAACAGGAUUAUCAGCUACUUGCAGUUCUGAGCCUACCUGGAUAGUAAGGAGAUCCUGAGGGAAAUCGGCAAGUAACAGCAGCUUUAUGGUACGCAGGAAUAAUAUACUCCAUCGUGAAUAAAUGCCCCUACCUCAAAAAAUAACUCUAACCCAACUAAAAAAAGAAAGACUGAUUCAUCUACAGACACUGACAAUUUGCUUUCCGUUGAAGUAGAGGCUAACGGUCUUGCAGGAAUCCAUGCAACACUUGAAAAGUUAUGUGAGGAGGUAACAGGGUUGAGGGAGUUUAGCCAGAGUGAAAUUAUCUCACUCCGAGAGAGAAAAAAGCAAUCACCGCCAAGGAAAAAACCCUUGAUUCUAAAAUUGUCUAAUCAGGGAAAACAGAAGGAGUCGGGAUACGCUAUUAGACAUACAAAGCCGAAGCACGAGCCUUGAAACUACCUCUGGAGACUGUAAACAGGUGGCUUUCCACCGAUUCCACAGACUUGGAGCUCGGCGAGACAAGACCAAGGGUCCCGGACCUAUCCUCACAAAAUUUGAACACUACCAACAAAAGGUGCUGAUCAAAAGCAGGGGAACGGAGCUUAAAGGGACAACAUUUGAUCUCAAUGAACAAUUUCCCUUGGAGAUAAACAAACAUCGCAAGAGACUGUGUCCUGUACAGAGGCAACAGAGGGAGAGGGGUAAGGGUGCCUUUCUCCUUGUGGACAAACUCUUUAAAGACGGACAGCUUUUCUCAGACAGCUCCAUAAUACCAUGGCUGUUCUAAAUUCUACAGGGUCGUCAGGAUACGAAAAAAAAGCAGGUCUCCCUCCCUCCCUCCCUCCCUCCCUCCCCUCUCUCUCUCUCUCUCUCUCUCUCUCUCUCUCUCUCUCUCUCUCUCUCUCUCUCUCUCUCUCUCUCUCUCAGAAUUGUUCUAUAAUCUAUGGUUUCUGUUUGUGUAUCUUUUGUAUGUCUGUCUACAUACUUAUCUAUGUUUAGAACAAGCAGUGGGAAGAUAUCAGAACAGGGGCGUUGGGUGACACAUUUGUGUGGGGCACACACUUAUACGGGACACAUUUGUACUGUAGUGAAGCCGUCUCUUUAUUAAUGCAAUGUCUCUUUCAUAAUCACGUGAAACGUCAAUUACUACGGAAAUGCUGUGUAAAUGCUGUGUUUUUCUAUGAAAAUGAUAUUAAAUGUAACUGUGAUGCAACUAUGACGGUGAUACGAUAUGGAUUACAAUUGUCAUCUUGAGUGUGAAGGCUGUACUCUAUAACUUCAUGUUAUACACAUAGACACUCAUCACACAUUAUAGUCUUACUCUAAUCCAGACAUCAUACACACUCUCACUAAAUCACAUACAAUUUCACACACAUCAACCUACUCAGAUCUACUUAGAUUCUUUGCUAUUAGGUUGACUGUUUCUUCCCAACGGUAAAUGGUGUAGCUGUUGUUGCUAAAUCAAUGGUUUUAUGGUAAUUAAAUAUUUAAUUAUGUUUAUUAGGUCAAUGAUUCUGAUUUGAAUGAUGUCCUUAAUG